AAUGUCAGAUGAUUUUUUGAAGUCAGCUUUGCUGCAAUACAGCCAUGUUAUGCGGUAAAGCGUAUGAAUGCUACAACUGCGGUUUUAGUUUCGCAUUCGAGAGCACAGCUAAGCAAGUUUC
rnacentral:lncRNA from 1 species